UCCCCACUGGCUCAGAGGGUAAAAGCAUCUGCCUACAAUGCGGGAGACCUGGGUUCGAUCCCUGGAUUGGGAA
rnacentral:tRNA from 1 species